rnacentral:rRNA from 1 species
UACGGAGGGGACUAGCGUUGUUCGGAAUUACUGGGCGUAAAGCGCACGUAGGCGAAUUUGUAAGUCAGGGGUGAAAUCCCGAGGCUCAACCUCGGAACUGCCUUUGAUACUGCAAAUCUCGAGUCCGGAAGAGGUGAGUGGAAUUCCUGGUGUAGCGGUGAAAUGCGCAGAUAUCAGGAAGAACACCCGUGGCUAAGGCGGCUCUCUAGUACGGUACUGACGCUGAGACGCGAAAGCGUGGGGAGCGAACAGG